rnacentral:rRNA from 1 species
CCUACGGGAGGCAGCAGUGAGGAAUAUUGGUCAAUGGACGAGAGUCUGAACCAGCCAAGUAGCGUGAAGGAUGACUGCCCUAUGGGUUGUAAACUUCUUUUAUAAAGGAAUAAAACGAGGCACGUGUGCCUUUUUGCAUGUACUUUAUGAAUAAGGAUCGGCUAACUCCGUGCCAGCAGCCGCGGUAAUACGGAGGAUCCGAGCGUUAUCCGGAUUUAUUGGGUUUAAAGGGAGCGUAGAUGGGUUGUUAAGUCAGUUGUGAAAGUUUGCGGCUCAACCGUAAAAUUGCAAUUGAUACUGGCAGUCGUGAGUACAGUUGAGGUAAGCGGAAUUCGUGGUGUAGCGGUGAAAUGCUUAGAUAUCACGAAGAACCCCGAUUGCGAAGGUAGCUUACUAAACUGUGACUGACAUUGAUGCUCGAAAGUGUGGGUAUCAAACAGGAUUAGAUACCCGAGUAGUC